rnacentral:rRNA from 1 species
AAACGACUCNCGGCAACGGAUAUCUCGGCUCACGCAUCGAUGAAGAACGUAGCAAAAUGCGAUACUUGGUGUGAAUUGCAGAAUCCCGUGAACCAUCGAGUUUUUGAACGCAAGUUGCGCCCGAAGCCAUUCGGCCGAGGGCACGUCUGCCUGGGCGUCACACA